GAUGAACGCUGGCGGCGUGCCUAAUACAUGCAAGUCGAGCGAACAGACGAGGAGCUUGCUCCUCUGACGUUAGCGGCGGACGGGUGAGUAACACGUGGAUAACCUACCUAUAAGACUGGGAUAACUUCGGGAAACCGGAGCUAAUACCGGAUAAUAUAUUGAACCGCAUGGUUCAAUAGUGAAAGACGGUUUUGCUGUCACUUAUAGAUGGAUCCGCGCCGCAUUAGCUAGUUGGUAAGGUAACGGCUUACCAAGGCAACGAUGCGUAGCCGACCUGAGAGGGUGAUCGGCCACACUGGAACUGGGACACGGUCCAGACUCCUACGGGAGGCAGCAGUAGGGAAUCUUCCGCAAUGGGCGAAAGCCUGACGGAGCAACGCCGCGUGAGUGAUGAAGGUCUUCGGAUCGUAAAACUCUGUUAUUAGGAAAGAACAAAUGUGUAAGUAACUAUGCACGUCUUGACGGUACCUAAUCAGAAAGCCACGGCUAACUACGU
rnacentral:rRNA from 1 species